rnacentral:rRNA from 1 species
UACAGAGGUGGCAAGCGUUGUUCGGAAUUACUGGGCGUAAAGGGCGCGUAGGCGGUUCGUUAAGUCCUGUGUGAAAUCCCCCGGCUCAACUGGGGAACUGCACAGGAAACUAGCGGGCUUGAGUUCGGGAGAGGGAAGCGGAAUUCCGGGUGUAGCGGUGAAAUGCGUAGAUAUCCGGAGGAACACCGGUGGCGAAGGCGACACGCUGGGCCGUACCUGACACUGAUGCGCGACAGCAUGGGGAGCAAACAGG